CCCUUAGAUGUCCUGGGCUGCACGCGCGCUACACUGAUGUGUCCAGUAAGCACCUAACCUAUUCCGAGAGGAGCGGGUAACCUUAGCAAAGCACAUCGUGAUGGGGAUAGAUUAUUGCAAUUAUUAGUCUUGAACGAGGAAUUCCUAGUAAGCACAAGUCAUCAGCUUGUGUUGAUUACGUCCCUGCCCUUUGUACACACCGCCCGUCGCUCCUACCGAUUGAAUGUUCCGGUGAGCUCUUCGGACUGCGCGGUCUGCAGUUUCUGCGUUCCGUGCGGAAAGUUGUGCAAACCUUAACAUUUAGAGGAAGGAGAAGCCGUAACA
rnacentral:rRNA from 1 species